rnacentral:rRNA from 1 species
UACGUAGGGUCCGAGCGUUGUCCGGAAUUACUGGGCGUAAAGGGCCAGUAGGCGGCCAACUAAGUCCGACGUGAAAUCCCAAGGCUUAACCUUGGAACUGCGUCGGAUACUGGAUGGCUUGAAUUCGGGAGAGGGAUGCAGAAUUCCAGGUGUAGCGGUGAAAUGCGUAGAUAUCUGGAGGAAUACCGGCGGCGAAGGCGGCAUCCUGGACCGAGAUUGACGCUGAACGGCGAAAGCUAGGGGAGCAAACGGG